rnacentral:rRNA from 1 species
ACGGGUGAGUAACACGUGGGAACGUGCCCUUCGGUUCGGAAUAACUCAGGGAAACUUGAGCUAAUACCGGAUACGCCCUUAUGGGGAAAGGUUUACUGCCGAAGGAUCGGCCCGCGUCUGAUUAGCUUGUUGGUGGGGUAACGGCCUACCAAGGCGACGAUCAGUAGCUGGUCUGAGAGGAUGAUCAGCCACACUGGGACUGAGACACGGCCCAGACUCCUACGGGAGGCAGCAGUGGGGAAUAUUGGACAAUGGGCGCAAGCCUGAUCCAGCCAUGCCGCGUGAGUGAUGAAGGCCUUAGGGUUGUAAAGCUCUUUUGUCCGGGACGAUAAUGACGGUACCGGAAGAAUAAGCCCCGGCUAACUUCGUGCCAGCAGCCACGGUAAUACGAAGGGGGCUAGCGUUGCUCGGAAUCACUGGGCGUAAAGGGCGCGUAGGCGGCCGAUUAAGUCGGGGGUGAAAGCCUGUGGCUCAACCACAGAAUUGCCUUCGAUACUGGUUGGCUUGAGACCGGAAGAGGACAGCGGAACUGCGAGUGUAGAGGUGAAAUUCGUAGA